ACUGUCUUGGCCUCCCAUUCAUCUUGCUUUCCACCUGACCAAAAUUACUCAGCCAAGUCCCUAAUGAUUGUAUUUCCUUCUCCUCUAUUAAAAUUGGGGUCAACCUUAACAUCUGUGAGCCAUGUUCAGAUUUAAUUAAGAUACACUUGGUUUGGUCCACAACCACUUAUAAAUUUUAAUUAAGCUGGAUAUAUAUUAAACUGAAUUAUUUUACAAGAACCAGUGCAUUUGAUAAGAAAUGUAAUUAUCCGUAUUUGAAAUGCUACAGUUUUAUAUUCUGAAAUCCCGAUUUUAAAAGAAAACUCAUUUUAGGUCAACUUUAGUCUUGAAUAAGCAUUGAUGAAUGAGGCCAUUUCUGGCUUUGAUUUCAAUUAAUAUUAGUCUUCUUCCAUUAUUAGAAAAAUAUUCAUUCAUUCUUUCUUUCAACAGUGAGGGUCUAUUUAGUACCAGGAACUAUGUAAGUCAUGAUAUUGGAAACUCACGUUUUAGAUUCAUAAUGGUCUUCCUUUAGCCUUGCUUUUUGUCUUCACAGCCUUCAUGAGUUGAGUUAGUUAUCCGCUUAGGUAUAAGUGGAUUAUCUUUUCAUUACUCACGUACACAUGUAACUCUAUUAGUAUCCAGAAAAAAGUUUGGGUAAAAGGUGUCUAAACAUCUCACUCAAAGAAGAAAAGAUAUCCUCUUUCUUUUUCCUUUCCUUUCCUUUCCUUUCCUUUCCUUUCCUUUCCUUUCCUUUCCUUUCCUUUCCUUUCCUUUCCUUUCCUUUCCUUUCUUUUUUUUUUUUUUUUAAGUGAAGUCUGUGUCCAUUUAGGGAGGUGAGAGAAGGCUGUAUAAGGAAGAGAAGAUCUCUGGACUGAAUUGUGUUUCCCUGCCCCCACCCACCAAUUCAUAUGCUGAAGCCCUAACCCCCAAUGUGACUGCAUUUGGAGAUAGCACAUGCAUCAGUUAGGAGGUAAUUGAAAUUAAAUGAGCUGAAAUGUGGGGUCUUAAUGCUGAGAGGAUUGGUGGUUUUAUAAAGAGUGGAAGAGCCAUCAGCCAUCUCUCUUUCCCCAUAAACACACCCACCAAGGAAAGGCCAGGUGAACAUAUGGUAAACAAAUACCUCUUUGCCAGGAAUAGAUAUUUUACCAAAACCCUACCAUGCUGGCACUCUGAUCUUGGACUUGUGGCCUCUGAAAUGGUGACAGAUUUCUGCUGUUAAGCCACCCAGUCUGUGGCAUUGUGUUAUGGUGGCCUGAUCUGACUAAUAUAGCGAGCCUGCAUCUAACCCUUUGGAUGCAUAGAAUUUCCAUGGGCUUUGGCGUUCCGGCCUGGGAGGUGGGCAGCUCUUUUCUCCAGAGCAGUUUUGCCCUUUACUGUAAUAAAUCCCAUGAAGUCAGCUACUUCCUGUUCCUGAGAACAGCACGGAUCCAUCUUAGAGUUCGCGGGACAACCCUUGACAGUGGAGCAAAGCUGACCAGCUUGUCCUUGGAUUGACCUUGACUUCUUAACAUAGCAUCUUGACUGAUUGAACUUCACAGCCUGGACGCUUGUGAUUUACAACACUCAAGUCCUCCACAAAAAGAUAAAUGCAGAAUUCAAUUUAUCAGUUCCUGCAGCUUGCUCCAUUCCUUUAGGGGGAGUUUUUCCAUUAGAAGAGCUAAUAAUCCCUUCCUUUUUUGUGUCCCAUUGAGUCUCAUAUGUCAACAGAUUUCAGAACAUUAAAAAAAAAUCUCAAGUUCAGCUUAAUAUUUGAUGUGACUUUUACACUGCUGAGCCAUGUCCCUCCCUAAAAGCAUGGUUCUUGUCUUUCCCUUGGAGUCUCACCUUCCGUACCUCUUUGAUGCACUAAAAAUGCUCUCUGUGGAUCAAUGGCGAGUACCAGCCCUCCAGACAUAGAGCUGUGACAGAAAAUCAAUGUGCGGUGUGGACAGUUGAGGAGAACCUUAAAUAAUGCCUUAAAAGGUCUGCACUCUGCAGUCCUCCAUCCCAAUGCCCGUAGAGAAUGCCAGUAGGGGUCAUACCUGCUAACGUGUGUAUUCUUUCCUAGUGUGCAGGAGUUUAAUAAAACCAGCAGAUGAAAACUACAGUCAAGUCACAAUUAAAAAGCCUUUGGAUAUAGAUUAUUCUGACACCUUUUUUACCCCUCCUGUCCCUAUGCCAGCACUUAGCAACUUUCACUUGCUGGCAUCAUCUCGUGCCAAGAACAGUGAGGAUGCUCCGAGAAACCCAGUGGCUACUUUCUUCUGGUGUCAGAUGAGAGGGGAAGGGCUAUGGAGUUUGGCAAGUCUCGAGACCUGCAGGAUGAGUCGGCAAGCUGGAGACCCCAGAGAGCUGACGGUUUAGUUCCAGAGUGAGUCUGAAGACCUGAGAAUCACCAUGGCCGCUGAUACAGCUCCAGGCUGAAGGCUGGCAGGCUAAAAAGCGGGAAGAGCUCAUGUUUCAGUUUGAGUCUGAAGGCAAGAGAAACAUCAGCGUCUCAGUCUGAAGGCAGGCGGGUGGGAAGAAUUUCCUCUUACCAGAGGACGGUCAGCCUUUUUGUGCUAUUUAGGUCUUCAACUGAUUAAAUAGGGCCCACCCACAUUAAGGAUGGCAAUCAGCUUUACUGGAUCUCUUGAUUUAAAUGUUUUUCUCAAAAAAAAAAUGUGUAUAAAUGUUUUUCUCAUCUGAAAUAACACAAAACAAAACCCACUUUCACAGACUCAGAAACAUGCAAAAUAAGAUUUGACCAAAUAUUUGGGCACUCCAUGGCCCACUUAAGUUGACACGUAAAAUUAACCAUUAUGCAUGUUUUUUGUUUUUGUCUCUGAGUUUAAAUAUAUGUCAUGGACAUUUUUUCAUGUCAGUAAAUAGAGAUGAUGAUCAUCUUUUUUUUUAAGUUUACUUAUUUUUGAGAGAGAGAGAGAGAGAGAACAAGUGGGGGAGGGGCAGAGAGAGAGAGAGAGAGAGAGAGAGAGAGAGAAUCUCAAGCAGGCUCUGCACUGUCAGUGCAGAGCCUGACAUGGGGCCUGAACCGAUGAACUGUGAGAUCAUGACCUGAGCCAAAAUCGGAUGUUUAACUGACCAAGCCACCCAGGUGCCCCUAAGGAUGGCCCUUGUGCGAGUGCCCCUGAUCAUCUCUGAUGGCUGCAUAGCAUAUUACUAUUUGACGCACAUCACUUAUUUCCAUUUUCUUGACAAACGCUUGGGUUAUUUUUUACACUUCACUACUAUAUUCGCGUAACGAAGUUUGAUUCGUAUCGCUAAAUUGUCCGCUAAAUAAUUUGUACAAUCUCAGCAGCAAGCAUAGGACUGACUGUAACACCUUCAGCACCACUAAAUGUGUAUUCUUUCAGCAAAUACAUAUUCAGCAUCUACCACGUGCUAAACACUGUGCAAGGAGCGAGGUAUGCAGUAGCGAGCAGAACAGGCUAGGUCCCUGCCCUCAGGAGGCAUCCAUUCUGCGGGGAGAGACCCACAGGAAACAAACAAAAACAUAGCCUGGUAAGGUAACCACAGCACGUGAUAGGGGAGUGAAGGAAAUAAAUGGUGUAACAUUAUAUAAGCAUAGAGCGGUAGAGGGGACUACUGUAGACAGGGCUAUCUAAAAGAUAGAAGGAGAAUUCACUUCAGUCUUGAGGCAGAAAGGAGGAUACCAUGAAGGUGGGGUUUGCCCCGGAUCUUGAAGUACACAAGAUGGUUUUGGGUCAGACAUUUGGUAUGAAGCGUUAUGGAGGUUUUGCAUGACCCGAAUUGUCACAACCCAGGAGUCACUGGAGGGAAAUGGGCCAAUCAGUUUCUUAAACCAACUUUGGAGGACUCAGGCGGGUGUUUUUUCCAGUUCACACCGAAUGCCAAGCUGUCUGAGAUGUGCAGGUUGAAGUAACAGAACCUGAGUGUACCACGUCUUUCUUUUUCCAAUGCCACUUAAUAACUUGGUUUGACUGGUCUGAAUUUGGAUAUUAAUAGAGCCAAUUUUCAGGGCGCCUGAGUGGUUCAGUCAGUUAAGCGUCCAACUUCAGCUCACGUCAUGCUCUCAUGGUUUAUGAGGUCGAGCCCUGCAUCGGGUUCUCAGCUGUCAUCACAGAGCCCUCCUCGGAUCCUCUGUUCCCCCCUCUGUCCCUAGCCCUCUCACACUCUCUCUGUCUCUCAAAAUAAAUAAACAUUAAAAAAAAUAAAGCCAAAUUUUCUAGGUGGUGAUUUUAUUUCUUAGUUCAUUUCUUAGUUUAUUUCUUAGAACAGCAGAGGUCACAGUAGUCUCUCUCAAAGGAUUGAGAUGGAUGUUUGGUCACAGCUCUCCCACCACAGACCUCAGGGCUACAUUGCUUAAUGUCAUGGUGUUUGUAAUCACCUGAGGUUUCAUCUUUCAAACAACUGUUUUUCAAAAACCUGUUCCUGCAAUUAAGCUGCAGUACCACCAGGAGGCAGUAUUGGGAUGCACCCAAGGGCAGGAUAUAAGAAAUUGGCCGUUCAUUAUAUUAUAAAAGCUAAUCUUACUUUUUAAAUUUGAAUUUAGCAUUAACCUGCCAAAUGUGUAAUUACUCUAGAGUGUCUUUGUAAAAUAAAUAGAAGUCUAAGCUGCAA